UUAGUUGUAGGAACUAAGUAGUUCAAAUGCCAAUGAAGGUACUGAAAGUUGUGUAGAGGGAGUCUGCACUUGUGAAUUCUGUAGAUAUGAUGAUUAAAGCAAUUUCAAUUAGUAAGUUUUGGCACUACCUAGACUUGAUUGAAGGAUCUAGUACUCAACAAUACCCUUGUGAGGGCAUUUUGGUAAGAUAGUGUGUUGAGAUGGUUACUUUGUUGACAAGACAGAAUUUAAGAUAAGGGAAAAAAUUGUUGAUGUGGCUUGAUUAUGAGGAUGUCUUAU
rnacentral:lncRNA from 1 species